CCUACGGGAGGCAGCAGUGGGGGAUAUUGCUCAAUGGGGGAAACCCUGAUGCAGCGACGCCGCGUGAGUGAAGAAGUAUCUCGGUAUGUAAAGCUCUUUUAGCAGGGAAGUAAAUGACAGUACCUGACCAAGAAGCCCCGGCUAAUUACGUGCCAGCAGCCGCGGCAAUACGGAGGGGGCCAGCGUUAUCCGGAUUUACUGGGUGUAAAGGGAGCGUAGACGGUUAUGUAAGUCUGGAGUGAAAGCCCGGGGUCCAACCCCGGGACUGCUUUGGAAACUGUGUGACUGGAGUACAGGAGGGGCAGGCGGAAUUCCUGGUGUAGCGGUGAAAUGCGUAGAUAUCAGGAAGAACACCGACGGCGAAGGCAGCCUGCUGGACUGAAACUGACGUUGAGGCUCGAAAGCGUGGGGAGCAAACAGGAUUAGAUACCCCUGUAGUC
rnacentral:rRNA from 1 species